GACGAACGCUGGCGGCGUGCUUAACACAUGCCAGUCGAACGGAAAGGCCCUUCGGGGUACUCGAGUGGCGAACGGGUGAGUAACACGUGGGUGAUCUGCCCUGCACUUUGGGAUAAGCCUGGGAAACUGGGUCUAAUACCGAAUAGGACCACGCGCUUCAUGGUGUGUGGUGGAAAGCUUUUGCGGUGUGGGAUGGGCCCGCGGCCUAUCAGCUUGUUGGUGGGGUAAUGGCCUACCAAGGCGACGACGGGUAGCCGGCCUGAGAGGGUGACCGGCCACACUGGGACUGAGAUACGGCCCAGACUCCUACGGGAGGCAGCAGUGGGGAAUAUUGCACAAUGGGUGCAAGCCUGAUGCAGCGACGCCGCGUGAGGGAUGACGGCCUUCGGGUUGUAAACCUCUUUCACCAGGGACGAAGCGUAAGUGACGGUACCUGGAGAAGAAGCACCGGCCAACUACGUG
rnacentral:rRNA from 1 species